GACGUAGGGGACGAGCGUUGUCCGGAUUUAUUGGGCGUAAAGCGCACGCAGGCGGCUUGGUAAGUCGGGUGUGAAAAUCCGAGGCUCAACCUCGGACGUGCACCCGAAACUGCCCGGCUAGAGGUAGGUAGGGGAGAUCGGAAUUCCUGGUGUAGCGGUGAAAUGCGCAGAUAUCAGGAGGAACACCGGUGGCGAAGGCGGAUCUCUGGGCCUUACCUGACGCUCAUGUGCGAAAGCUAGGGGAGCGAACAGG
rnacentral:rRNA from 1 species